CAGCAACAGAGAUAGUAAAACACUCGUAUUUCCCUUACUGUAUAUGAUACACUGUAAGAUUUUUAAAUUAUGGGAAAGACAGUGAAGGGGGCUCUUGAUUCACCAGAGGGUACAUUUAGGAAGAGAUACAAAAACAAACCUUCACUUAUCCUCUAAUAUUUUCUUAAGGACUCACAUGAAAGGAAAGCAACCAAGAGCUGAGAUACCAGAGUGACUGCAAAGAAGAAAUGUUCCCUGCCUGGGAAAAGGAACCUCCUACUUGUCUUCGCUCCAGAGCCAUCUACACCUCACCAGAAAGCUCUGAAUGCAAAUCAGCUGCACCUGCACCUUCUGCUAUUAAGAUUGUUACCCAAGAGGAUUGAUCAGAGACGUUGAGAUAAAGAGUGAAGAUCUUGGGAAGUAAUGAAUUUAGCUAUUACUGAACACUAGAUCAAUACAGCAACGUCUAAGCAAUCUUAUCUCCUGUAAGUCAUCACUGCAAGAAAGCGUCUGCAAUGGCAGAUGCCAGAACAACAGUGGCCUCUUUCAUCAAGAAUUUUGCCAAAGGACUUGUACAAAACCCAUAUUUUGGCUCUCUAUACUAGGUAGGUACAGAAUGCAUGUA
rnacentral:lncRNA from 1 species